rnacentral:rRNA from 1 species
AUUGAACGCUGGCGGCAGGCCUAACACAUGCAAGUCGAACGGUAGCACAGAGAGCUUGCUCUCGGGUGACGAGUGGCGGACGGGUGAGUAAUGUCUGGGAAACUGCCCGAUGGAGGGGGAUAACUACUGGAAACGGUAGCUAAUACCGCAUAACGUCGCAAGACCAAAGUGGGGGACCUUCGGGCCUCACACCAUCGGAUGUGCCCAGAUGGGAUUAGCUAGUAGGUGGGGUAAUGGCUCACCUAGGCGACGAGCCCUAGCUGGUCUGAGAGGAUGACCAGCCACACUGGAACUGAGACACGGUCCAGACUCCGACGGGAGGCAGCAGUGGGGAAUAUUGCACAAUGGGCGCAAGCCUGAUGCAGCCAUGCCGCGUGUAUGAAGAAGGCCUUCGGGUUGUAAAGUACUUUCAGCGGGGAGGAAGGCGGUGAAGUUAAUAACUUCACCGAUUGACGUUACCCGCAGAAGAAGCACCGGCUAACUCCGUGCCAGCCGCCGCGGUAA